CCGUCGGAAAAACCUAAAGAAUAAAGACACCAGUUACAAAUCCUCUUUUUCUUCCAUUUCCCACUUUGUCUUCCAACUAUUAAAGCUCCAUUAAAAUGAAAAACCAUAUAAUCUCGCUUUCCGCUGAACUAACAAAAAAAAUUGAGACGAGAGGUAGCUCUUUGGCUUCCAAGUGUUUCUGUUCUUCUUCAUCAUCCCUUGAAACAUCAUCUCCACGCCCUACCAAGCCAUCUAAGGCUGUGGCGGUGCCGGCGGAUCUUCCUCGGUGAGCUAGGUUCCGGUUGAGAAUCAAGUAUCGGAAUCUGUAGAGACAGAGCUUAGAUCCUAUGAUCCCAAGCUAUGGAUGCGGAUUUACGCUCUGAUCCCCAAGCUAUCCUCUGACUCAGUGGCUUUCAUCGGCCUCCGCCUCUCUCUCUCUCUCCUAUUCUUCUCCAGGCCACAUCGACCCUCUCCGAUCAGGUUCCAGAGCUCCCUUUGUAGCUAAUAGCUCUUGAGAUCUUCGAUUUCACUUUGCUCUUUUUUUAGGUUCAAACUUCUGUUGUUGCCUUCUUUUUUCCAGAUCUGCUUCCAUUGAUUGAAUAAUCCUAAUUGCAGAAAACUCUAUCCAGGAGCCGAUCUAAUUGUAGCUACUGAAUUGCUUAGCAGAAAGAGAAUGUGUAGGCAGAAUUGUUGUGCGAAAUCGUCACAAGAGGAGGAGGUGAUUUCACCACCUGAUGAGAAUCUCUUGAUCUACUGUAAACCUGUUCGUCUCUACAACAUUCUUCGCAUUCGCUCUCUUUUCAACCCAUCGUUUCUUCCUAGAUUAUUGAGCUAGCAAAGGGCAAAAAAAAGUCGUGUUGCAGUGAUAGGGUUCUUCAUGGCUUACACUUUUGUUCCUGUCAUGAAUCUGGAUUUUUUUUCGUAUAGAAAUCUAGAGGUCUGUUUGAAAUUUGAAGGUUGAAACAAGGGUUUAAAGAUGUUGUCCAAGAGAUUGAUUCUGAAGUUAGCUGCAAGCUGUAGCAAGAGACGAUACACCAGGUUGCAGCAUGUGAUUUUUGAGUUAGAAGCUUCAGAAUUGGUUGGAUCAAUUAAUAGACCACGUGCCUGGCCAGCCUUUCGAGCGUAUGGUUUGGAGUUAACUGAAGUGCUGAGUAAUCUUACAGAUUGGAAGGUGAAUAUGGUGACAAGAGAGGCUAACUGGGGUGCUUUCUUGAUUGCUCAAAGCGUGACAGAGGAGAUGAGACUUCAGUCCUAUGUGGCCCAGGGUAAUCCUUCUUGGUUACAUGGUUUGCUUGCAGAGGAAAGUACGAGGAACAGUGUGUAACAGAUGAUGGUGGAGUUUGAAAGUCUAUGGUGAAGCUAUGUGUUUUUGGAGAGAAGAUGGAGUUUUAGUUUUUAGUGUAGUUUCAAUUGUUGUUGAGGUUCCUUUUGAAUCUUUUUUGAAUCUUUAUGGUAUUUUUGACACUUUCCAUUUUCUCAAGAGUUAAAAAAAAAUUGGUUUGCGUUUCAUGGCCUGAUUUGUAAGAAUUAAAUAUAAAGUUUUGGCCUUUUGGGUGGUAUUUGCUUAA